rnacentral:piRNA from 1 species
UAUUACUUAAUAAGGAUGGUUGCCACUCA